rnacentral:rRNA from 1 species
AAUGCGUAGAGAUCUGGAGGAAUACCGGUGGCGAAGGCGGCCCCCUGGACAAAGACUGACGCUCAGGUGCGAAAGCGUGGGGAGCAAACAGGAUUAGAUACCCUGGUAGUCCACGCCGUAAACGAUGUCUACUUGGAGGCUGUGCCCUUGAGGCGUGGCUUCCGGAGCUAACGCGUUAAGUAGACCGCCUGGGGAGUACGGCCGCAAGGUUAAAACUCAAAUGAAUUGACGGGGGCCCGCACAAGCGGUGGAGCAUGUGGUUUAAUUCGAUGCAACGCGAAGAACCUUACCUGGUCUUGACAUCCACAGAAGUUUGCAGAGAUGCGAAUGUGCCUUCGGGAACUGUGAGACAGGUGCUGCAUGGCUGUCGUCAGCUCGUGUUGUGAAAUGUUGGGUUAAGUCCCGCAACGAGCGCAAC